rnacentral:lncRNA from 1 species
UAUAGUAUUAUAUUAGGUAGAGAAGAGAGGUAGAGAGGUAGAGAUAUGGGAGACCUGAUCGUGAUACAUACGUGAGACCUGGUCGUCUAGGAUUUAGCAGAGUACAUUGACUCAUCGGUCGUCUCGGAUAUGCUAGUUGGACACGAAUCGACUCAAUCCUUACAAGUAGCACUACUAGAGCCAAACUUUUGAUUCUGGCUUCUACUGCGACUUCCGAUUUCCUCUCUCGUAAUCGACGGAUACACAAUAGUAGCAAAAGGACCCGUGCGUUGCAACGGGAGAAAAACAAUUAUAAUCUUUAAUGGUGCUGAUUAUAUUAUGUC